rnacentral:rRNA from 1 species
CCUACGGGAGGCACCAGUGAGGAAUAUUGGUCAAUGGGCGAGAGCCUGAACCAGCCAAGUCGCGUGAAGGAUGAAGGAUCUAUGGUUUGUAAACUUCUUUUAUAUGGGAAUAAAGUGAGGAACGUGUUCCUUUUUGUAUGUACCAUAUGAAUAAGCAUCGGCUAACUCCGUGCCAGCAGCCGCGGUAAUACGGAGGAUGCGAGCGUUAUCCGGAUUUAUUGGGUUUAAAGGGUGCGUAGGCGGACUGUUAAGUCAGCGGUAAAAGCCCGGGGCUCAACCCCGGCGAGCCGUUGAAACUGGCUGUCUUGAGAUGUCGAGAGGUAUGCGGAAUGCGCAGUGUAGCGGUGAAAUGCUUAGAUAUCACGAAGAACUCCGAUUGCGAAGGCAGUUCACUGGACUGCAACUGACACUGAGGCUCGAAAGUGUGGGUAUCAAACAGGAUUAGAUACCCUGGUAGUC